GACGAACGCUGGCGGCGUGCCUAAUACAUGCAAGUAGAAACGCACAGUAUAUACCGUAGCUUGCUACACCAUAGACUGUGAGUUGCGAACGGGUGAGUAACGCGUAGGUAACCUGCCUGGUAGCGGGGGAUAACUAUUGGAAACGAUAGCUAAUACCGCAUAAUAUUAAUUAUUGCAUGAUAAUUGAUUGAAAGAUGCAACUGCAUCACUACCAGAUGGACCUGCGUUGUAUUAGCUAGUAGGUGAGGUAACGGCUCACCUAGGCGACGAUACAUAGCCGACCUGAGAGGGUGAUCGGCCACACUGGGACUGAGACACGGCCCAGACUCCUACGGGAGGCAGCAGUAGGGAAUCUUCGGCAAUGGACGAAAGUCUGACCGAGCAACGCCGCGUGAGUGAAGAAGGUUUUCGGAUCGUAAAGCUCUGUUGUAAGAGAAGAACGGGUGUGAGAGUGGAAAGUUCACACUGUGACGGUAUCUUACCAGAAAGGGACGGCUAACUACGUGCCAGCAGCCGCGGUAAUACGUAGGUCCCGAGCGUUGUCCGGAUUUAUUGGGCGUAAAGCGAGCGCAGGCGGUUAGAUAAGUCUGAAGUUAAAGGCUGUGGCUUAACCAUAGUACGCUUUGGAAACUGUUUAACUUGAGUGCAGAAGGGGAGAGUGGAAUUCCAUGUGUAGCGGUGAAAUGCGUAGAUAUAUGGAGGAACACCGGUGGCGAAAGCGGCUCUCUGGUCUGUAACUGACGCUGAGGCUCGAAAGCGUGGGGAGCGAACAGG
rnacentral:rRNA from 1 species